GGCAGUGGUAAUUAGGUGGUUAAGACAUUGGACUUCUGAUCAUAAGGUUGUGAGUUCAAAUCCCAGCACUGACA